rnacentral:rRNA from 1 species
AGCGGCAUCGAGUGAGCGCAGUUUACUGAGUUCAUGUCGGCGAGCGGCGGACGGGUGAGUAAAGUCUGGGAAUCUGGCCGAAGGAGGGGGAUAACUGCUGGAAACGGCAGCUAAUACCGCAUGAAGUCGCGAGACCAAAGUGGGGGACCUUCGGGCCUCACGCCUUCGGAUGAGCCCAGAUGAGAUUAGCUGGUAGGUAAGGUAAAGGCUUACCUAGGCGACGAUCUCUAGCGGGUCUGAGAGGAUAGCCCGCCACACUGGAACUGAGACACGGUCCAGACUCCUACGGGAGGCAGCAGUGGGGAAUAUUGCACAAUGGGCGAAAGCCUGAUGCAGCCAUGCCACGUGUGUGAAGAAGGCCUUCGGGUUGUAAAGCACUUUCAGCGAGGAGGAAGCGAUAAAUGCCAAUACCAUU